UACCAGCACCCCGAGUGGUCGGGACGAUUGAUUGGCCUAAAGCAUCCGUAGCCGGCCUUACAAGUCCUCCGUUAAAUCCAGCUGCUUAACAGAUGGGCUGCGGAGGAUACUAUAAGACUAGGAGGCAGGAGAGGCAAGCGGUACUCAGUGGGUAGGGGUAAAAUCCGUUGAUCCGAUUGAAGACCACCCAGUGGCGAAGGCGGGCUUGC
rnacentral:rRNA from 1 species